AAGAGUUUGUUUUGUUAUCCAUUUGUUUGUAUCGUUUGUGCUUUUCGAAAUUAUUUUAAUCCUAUCAUGGGUCGUGCAAAAAAUAAACAAAAUUUAUUGAUUGCCACUGAUUUAUUUUAUUUCGAAAUGAUACCAUAAGUGUCAAGUAGAAACUUUGUUUGACUUUAAGAUUUCUCGUGACAACGGGAGUUAGUUUCGUGGACCUAUCUUUCCGAUUUUUUAUGGGAAAAACAUUAGUCAGAUGGUGUGUAAUGCAGACAAUCCAGGCAAUCGACAUGCAUUUUACAAUUUUACAGACUAGGCCAGUCCCCGAAAGCCCAAGUUUUUGGAUAAAAGUUUCUUUUUAUUUUUUGUCAAACAGGAAUUUUCCCAACUGUCUUGGUUGAUGGAAAGCAUAUGAAAAUGUUUGCCCCAAGAAA